AUUCUUUUACAAGUGAUUUCAAUUGUUAUUAUAAUUUUUAUAAUAUAUAUUCAAUCAAUCUCUCUAUUGGUUAAUCCAAAAUCAAAUUUCCUUUUGACCCGAUUUUAAAUUACUUUUUGUUUUUUGUUUGUUCAUUCUAAAAUCCAUAAAAAUGGUAAUGCCGGAUUCGAUUUGGUAUUACAAAAUAUUUUUUUUAUAUAUAUGCUUCAGAUUUUUUUAGUUGUGGUUCAUAUGGUUGGUAUUCUGAAAAGAUUAGGCUAGGAUAAAAAUUAAUUAAUUAAGUGGUUUAAGCUGAAAUAGAAGAUUACUCUGAAAAACAAUAAUCCAUGAAUUCAUCUGAAAGGUGUCUUUAUAUUUACGGACAUGUCAUAUGUUAGUGUUCUGAUAUGUACUACAUCGGAGGCAGGUUACAUUUAUGCGACAACAAAGAAAAUUAAACUUUGUUUUCAUGCAGCAAUUGGCAUACUGCAAUGUUAGUAUUAAUUAUACUUAGUGUUAUCUUAUGUAAGGUUUAUAGACUGAAUCAAUCAAUUACUGAAUUUGAAAGUUUUGCCAUAAUUAGCUUCAAGCUGAGCAAGCCACUGGAAUCUCAAGGCUCAUGAAAAUCUGAAACAGAUCUUCUGCACAAAAUCAACUGGAGGAAAUCCACUUUCAACUCAAUCAAAGAUUAUUCCUGAACCUCUUCCUUGGUCAAUAAUUCUAAAACAUCAGCCACUAUGCACUCACCAUUAUAUGGAAGUGCGACUGGACAAGACAAUGGGCAGCACUAAAACUAGAAUUAUAUUUAUAUAUUUACAGAGUUGUAGCAUGGGUCCAAGUUAAAAUGUCUUACAUCUCUUGACCCAGAUCGAAUGGGAAGUCACGGAAGAAAUUGUUGCCAGUCACUAGCUUGGUGAUCUUGCAGGUUGCAUCUCGGGUAGUGGAUAUUCAUCUGAUAUCUUCAUUUUCUAAGACCAAGUGCAGUGCCCAAGCUUUUGAAAGGUACUUGGAAAUCAACAAUAUCUGCUGUAGCAAUUGUGGGAAUGUCAAUACGAAGUUUUGGUGCAAUAGCAUCAAUAUCUGCUCUCUGUUCUUUUCUUUAUUUUUUUCAUCGCAGGGAUAAUCAGCAAUUUCAGUUUCCAUCUAAGGCUGAUAGGUUUACAAAAAAAAAGAAAAAAAGAAAAAAAAGGUUAUCAUGGGUCAUUGUGACCUGCAAGCAAUCUUAGGCGGAACCUUGGUGGAAAUUAAAUUAAACAAAUUGAACGAGCAGGGUUGAUAUUCAUUAAGGAUGAUGUAAACUGCCUCUUCCUCCAACUAGAAGUAAUCCAGGUCCAUUAGCCCUGGCCGCCAGCUGAGAUUCAGGAGUUGUACUUCUGAAUCAAAAGAAAGGGAUGAUCCAGAACUAUGAAUAGUGGCCAACCCGUUGUAUGCCAUCUAUCUAUCUAUAAAGUUGAAUCUACUGUAUAAUUGACACUUCGGAAUCACGCUAAGUGGGCGUAUGUAUGGAUUGACAUGAUACCUGUGUAAAUUUGACAGGUCCUUAGUGCACGUGUUCCUCUUCAAA